GGCAACCUACGGGAGGCAGCAGUAGGGAAUCUUCCACAAUGGACGAAAGUCUGAUGGAGCAACGCCGCGUGAGUGAAGAAGGGUUUCGGCUCGUAAAGCUCUGUUGGUAGUGAAGAAAGAUAGAGGUAGUAACUGGCCUUUAUUUGACGGUAAUUACUUAGAAAGUCACGGCUAACUACGUGCCAGCAGCCGCGGUAAUACGUAGGGGGGAAGCGUUAUCCGGAAUUACUGGGUGUUAAGGGAGCGUA
rnacentral:rRNA from 1 species